rnacentral:rRNA from 2 species
UAGGGAAUCUUCGGCAAUGGACGAAAGUCUGACCGAGCAACGCCGCGUGAGUGAAGAAGGUUUUCGGAUCGUAAAACUCUGUUGUUAGAGAAGAACAAGGACGUUAGUAACUGAACGUCCCCUGACGGUAUCUAACCAGAAAGCCACGGCUAACUACGUGCCAGCAGCCGCGGUAAUACGUAGGUGGCAAGCGUUGUCCGGAUUUAUUGGGCGUAAAGCGAGCGCAGGCGGUUUCUUAAGUCUGAUGUGAAAGCCCCCGGCUCAACCGGGGAGGGUCAUUGAAACUGGGAGACUUGAGUGCAGAAGAGGAGAGUGGAAUUCCAUGUGUAGCGGUGAAAUGCGUAGAUAUAUGGAGGAACACCAGUGGCGAAGGCGGCUCUCUGGUCUGUAACUGACGCUGAGGCUCGAAAGCGUGGGGAGCAAACAGG